rnacentral:rRNA from 1 species
GUGUCAGCAGCCGCGGUAAUACGUAGGGGCCGAGCGUUGUCCGGAGUUAUUGGGCGUAAAGCGCGCGCAGGCGGCUUCGCGCGUCCGACGUGAAAGCCCCCGGCUCAACCGGGGAGGGUCGUUGGGUACGGCGGAGCUUGAGGGCGGUAGAGGUUGGUGGAAUUCCCGGUGUAGUGGUGAAAUGCGUAGAGAUCGGGAGGAACACCUGUGGCGAAGGCGGCCAACUGGGCCGACCCUGACGCUGAGGCGCGAAGGCGUGGGGAGCGAACGGGAUUAGAUACCCGUGUAGUCC